GUGUUUGCUUCGGCAGCACAUAUACCAAAAUUUGAACUAUAUGGAAAUGAUUAGCAUGACCUUUUCACAAGGAUGACAUGCAAAUUCAUGUAGUGUUCCAUAUUUUU
ensembl:snRNA U6 U6 spliceosomal RNA